rnacentral:rRNA from 1 species
UAGCGGCGAGCGAAGCGGGAAGAGCUCAAAUUUAUAAUCUGGCACCUUCGGUGUCCGAGUUGKAAUCUCUAGAAGUGUUUUCCGCGUUGGACCGCRCACAAGUCUGUUGGAAUACAGCGGCMUAGUGGUGAAACCCCCGUAUAUGGUGCGGACGCCCASCGCUUUGUGAUACACUUUCWAUGAGUCGAGUUGUUUGGGAAUGCAGCUCAAAUUGGGUGGUAAAUUCCAUCURAAGCUAAAUAUUGGCGAGAGACCGAURGCGAACAAGUACCGUGAGGGAAAGAUGAAAAGCACUUUGGAAAGAGAGUUAACAGUACRUGAAAUUGUUGGAAGGGAAACGCUUGAAGUCAGACUUGCUUGCCGGAGCUUGCUUCSGUUUGCARGCCAGCRUCAKUUUUCCGGGGUGGAUAAUGACGGUUUGAAGGKAGCAGUCUCGGCUGUGUUAUAGCUUUCCGUUGGAUACAUCCUGGGGACUGAGGAACGCAACGUGCUUUUUGCGAAGACUCGUCUUUUUCACGCUUASGAUGCUGUGGAAGGCUUUAACACCCGUCUU